rnacentral:rRNA from 1 species
GAUGAACGCUGGCGGCGUGCCUAAUACAUGCAAGUCGAGCGAACAGGCGAGGAGCUUGCUCCUCUGACGUUAGCGGCGGACGGGUGAGUAACACGUGGAUAACCUACCUAUAAGACUGGGAUAACUUCGGGAAACCGGAGCUAAUACCGGAUAAUAUAUUGAACCGCAUGGUUCAAUAGUGAAAGACGGUUUUGCUGUCACUUAUAGAUGGAUCCGCGCCGCAUUAGCUAGUUGGUAAGGUAACGGCUUACCAAGGCAACGAUGCGUAGCCGACCUGAGAGGGUGAUCGGCCACACUGGAACUGAGACACGGUCCAGACUCCUACGGGAGGCAGCAGUAGGGAAUCUUCCGCAAUGGGCGAAAGCUUGACGGAGCAACGCCGCGUGAGUGAUGAAGGUCUUCGGAUCGUAAAACUCUGUUAUUAGGGAAGAACAAAUGUGUAAGUAACUAUGCACGUCUUGACGGUACCUAAUCAGAAAGCCACGGCUAACUACGCG